CAGUAGUAUUUGUCGUUGUUGUGUGAGCUAUUAUGA
rnacentral:sRNA from 1 species